CCUACGGGAGGCAGCAGUGGGGAAUAUUGCACAAUGGGGGAAACCCUGAUGCAGCAACGCCGCGUGGGUGAAGAAGUAUUUCGGUAUGUAAAGCCCUAUCAGCAGGGAAGAGAAUGACGGUACUAGACUAAGAAGACCCGGCUACCUACGAGCCAGCAGCCGCGGUAAUACGGAGGGGGCAAGCGUCAUCCGGCGUUACUGGGUGUAGAGGGAGCGUAGACGGUAGUGCAAGUCUGAAGUGAAAGCCCGCGGCUCAACUGCGGGACGGCUUUGGAAAAUGUGUAACUGGAGUGCUGGAGAGGGAAGCGGAAUUCCUGGUGUAGCGGUGAAAUGCGUAGAUAUCAGGAGGAACACCGGCGGCGAAGGCGGCUUACUGGACAGUAACUGACGGUGAGGCUCGAAAGCGUGGGGAGCAAACAGGAUUAGAUACCCGAGUAGUC
rnacentral:rRNA from 1 species